GACAGAGGGUGCAAACGUUGUUCGAAAUUACUGGGCGUAAAGCGCGUGUAGGCGGCUAAGUAAGUCGGGCGUGAAAUCCCACGGCUCAACCGUGGAAGUGCACUCGAAACUGCAUAGCUAGAGUCCUGGAGAGGAAGGUGGAAUGCUUGGUGUAGAGGUGAAAUUCGUAGAUAUCAAGCGGAACACCGGUGGCGAAGGCGGCCUUCUGGACAGUGACUGACGCUGAGACGCGAAAGCGUGGGGAGCAAACAGG
rnacentral:rRNA from 1 species